AUCAACCGACUGAAUCCGAUCCGGUCCGAGUGUUUUUUGAGUGAUUGGGUCGGUUUGGUUCGGGUACACGGGUGGUCGGGUGACUUAAAUUGGGUUUAAGUGGAUAUAAUCGGUCGGUUCGGAUUUAGUUUUAGCAUCCGUCGGUGACCGAAACCGACCGAAUGCAGUAAAUUAUUAGGGCCUUUCCUUAGUUCCAACAAGCCCAACCCAGUAUAUUGAACCAGAUCCACACUCAUUUCAGACCUAAUUUAAGCUCAUAACCCUAAUCUCUUCUUCAUAUGUGUUAAUUUUUCUCUUCCCUUCAUCUGCGCCGUUUGAAAUCUGAGGCCAAUAUAUCUCUCUUUAUCAAUUGUCGUCGAUGAAAGAUUAAUCUAAGUUUGUUAAGGGGGAUCGUUUUCUUGAUGUUGCGCUUCUUGAGGAGUAAGUCCAUCAAUGCUUUGAGAGUGACAAGCCAAACUCCAUGUCUUUUUGUAAAGACAUAAGGAAAAGACUCACACAUCCCAGAAUGUGAAGGAUCUGAAGAAUAGGUUGGGUUCAAAAAAAGUUAUGUUUUGGCAGAAAUUUCUUCAUGGUUGAAGAUAUUGGACCUUUGGAUACUAUCUUUAAACCAACAAAGUCAACAUAUCGCUUGUUUUUGGCAUUUGACAGUAAGGCUGACUCUUGGGUGGCGAAUUCGUUUGACACAACAUCUACUAUGGAACUAUUUGAGAAGCAAUGUGUUCUACAAGGAUACUAUUUUGGAUUAGACUUACCAGGAGAGAAGAAAAUGAGAAUGACAAAGCACUUUCUGCUAAGGCUCUAAUUCAAUAGUAUAUUUAUGAUCUUGUUCUGAUUGAAUUAUGGCGUAAAGGUUGUUUUGAGAGAGACAUCUUCAAGUCUAUUAAAUAUCAAAAUAGCAUUUGAAGAGAAAAAAAAAAGAUAGUUGAAAAAGUUUAUAAUAAAGGUUAUAUUCAAGAAAUAGAAUAUAAAUUGCAUUAUAGAUAAGCAUCAAGAGAUCA